GACGCUUUCCACCGUCAGCGCCGGAGCAGAGCAGGGGAGCCCUGGCAACAAGGAGAGACACAAACUCAGCAGCCCGGUUCACCCCACAGGAAUGGUGACAGCACCUGCAGACACACAGACGUGGACAGACGGCGCACGCACCCACAACCCUUCCCUCCCAUCGGUGGAGAGAUCCAGACUUCACACCAGGAACUGCAGCUCCUGUCGGUUGUCAGCUCUCAACUGAGCAGCAGGCUCCACCUACUCCACCCAAGUAGCUCCGCCUCUCCGCUCAGGACUCAUCAGACCUUCAACACAAAGGCGCAGGUCGGAAGGGAUUAACAUCGUAAGAGUAUCUUCACUGAAACCCUUUUUUUUU